UGUGCUGAUGUGGAUGGCCCCAGUGUCGUCUGUUUUCUUGCUCCAACUGAAUUGGUGUUCCUUGCAGCUGUCAUGGCUUUGCAUCCAAACUGGCAAUCUCUUUCUACUGCCGUUUUCCAGUGGAAAACAUUUGUAAGAGAGGGAGACUCCUACGUUCCUCGUAAAGGAAAAACUGUUCCUGCUUCGAGCCAGAAUCUCACUGGUGACGAAGCUAAGCGGCUGUAUGAAGAAAUUGUGAAACAAGAACCCGAAAAGUCAUCGGUGGGGAAUGUAACUUCUGCAGCCACAUCUGCGGAAAUAUGUUUGAAAAGUGUGCGGCAUGCCAAUCUCACUGAAAGCUCUCCCGUGAGCAGCACGCCCUUGGAUGUAGACGGAACUACCUGGAUCAACAAUAUAAUGAAGGCUGCUCAAAGUAACGACGUUUCCAGCGUUUCGUCGUUAUUGAAAGGAAGAGAGAGUAACAUAAAUACUGUUGAUCAGUAUGGUUGGACAGUUCUGAUGUGCGCUGCUGCCUCAGGAUCUCUUGAUGUGGUAAAACUGCUCGUUGACAGCGGCGGUGACAUCGACGUGAAAGACAGAAGUGGGAAUAGUUCUUUGAGUAUUGCGGAAAAAAUGAAGCAUUUUCAUGUUGUUAAUUACCUGAGUUCUAGGCCCGUUUCAGAAGAGAAACCAAUAUCUCGUAGGAGAAAGGACGUAGGUACUUUCUACUGUGCUGUUUGUAAACGCAGUUUCAGUGAUGAAAAAGAGAAACAUCUCACCUCAACUGUUCAUCUUUUUAAUUCUCACCCUGGUGGGGGCAGAACUUAUUAUUCUAUUCCAGAGAGCAAUAGAGGUUUCCAGAUUUUGUUGAAAGCUGGUUGGGACAAGGAAAAGGGACUGGGUCCCGAAGGAUCUGGUCAAAAGUUUCCUUUAAAAACUGUGUUAAGAAAGGAUAGGCAGGGACUCGGUCAACCUACAAAAAUUCCGGCCAGAGUGACACAUUUUGACCCAUUUUCUACUGAAGCUGUCCGGAUAGAGAAAAAAUGUAAAGGAAGAAAGAAUAGGGAACUUUUUUCUCUGAAAGAAAAGAGGAAGGAGAGAAUGUUACGCAAAAUCCUAAGCUAAAAACCUGAUACCGGUUUGUACUCUUGUAUCAUCUUGAGAACUAGUACGUUGAGGCUUGGGCCUUUUGGAGAAUCCUCAGCACAGCCUGCGAUUGUUGAGUGAAAUUGAAGAAAUUGGAGAAGAAAUUCUAAGAGAUCGUAAUGAAGUUGUAGCUCUGGACCGUAGGCGAAAUCAGACCAGAGAAGCUCUC